GACGAACGCUGGCGGCGUGCUUAACACAUGCAAGUCGAACGGAAAGGCCCUGCUUUUGUGGUUUUCUCGUUUGGCGAUCGUGUGUGUAACACGUGUGUUACCUGCCCUUGACUUUGUUAUAACUUCAGGAAACUUGGUCUAAUACCGUAUAGGAGCUCCUGCUUCAUGUUGUUGGUUGGAUUUUUUCGGCGGUUGGGGAUGGACUCGCGGGUUAUCAGCUUGUUGGUGGGGUAUUGGCUUACCAAGGCUUUGACGGGUAGCCGGCAUGAGAGGGUGACCGGCAAAAAGGGGACUGAGAUACGGCCAAGAAUGCAAGGGGAGGAAGCAGUGGGGAAUAGUGAACAAUGGGAGGAAGGCGGAUGAAGAAACGCGGCGUGCGGGAUGACGGCCUUCGGGUUGUAAAACGCUGGAGAAUGUGACGAAGAGUGAGUGACGGUAAUGGGUAAAGAAGCAACGGCUAACUACGUG
rnacentral:rRNA from 1 species